GCCGGGGUAGCUCAGCGGUUAGAGCUCCUGUUUUGUAAACAGGGGGCCGUGGGUUCGAAUCCCACCCCCGGCUCAA
rnacentral:tRNA from 2 species